UACGUAGGGUGCAAGCGUUAAUCGGAAUUACUGGGCGUAAAGGGUGCGCAGGCGGUUGGGUGUGUCAGAUGUGAAAUCCCGAGGCUCAACCUCGGAACUGCGUCUGAAACUACUCGACUAGAGUACUGGAGAGGGUAACGGAAUUCACGGUGUAGCAGUGAAAUGCGUAGAUAUCUGGAGGAACACCGGUGGCGAAGGCGGCAUCCUGGACCGGUAUUGACGCUGAGGCGCGAAAGCCAGGGGAGCAAAGCGGG
rnacentral:rRNA from 1 species